CCUAGCCGUCGUCGCCGCCCGUGAGGAGGCUGGGGCCAUCGGAUCCAGCGAGCCCGAUCUCCUCGCCAGCGGAUCCGGCUAACCGG
rnacentral:pre_miRNA from 1 species